AUGAAGUUCGGAUGGGGCCCAACUUACUCCCCAGUACUGAUGGUAGACCUGGGAUCCUUUAGCCUCAGGGAUUGGUUUAGGGUUGGGCCCUAAACCCCAAGCCAGACCACUCAGAACCUUCUCUGAGAUAUUUCCUAGAACUAGCAGGAAAAAGGAAAAAAAGGAUCCCCUUCCCCCUGCCCAUGUGUCCUAUGCCUCACCCACACAACCAGUAUGGAAUCAUCAGCUGGGAAGAGGAUGUCAUUUGAGAGCUGCUAAUGGCUAUCCUGGCCAUAGCAUGAGGAAGGAGAGUCAGCCUUAGCAUGAAGCCAACACUGAGAAAGCAGAGCAUAAAGUCACAGAGAGAGAGAGAGAGAGGCAGAGACACAGGAAGAGAGAGAAGCAGGCUCCAUGCACCGGGAGCCCGACGUGGGAUUCGAUCCCGGGUCUCCAGGAUCGCGCCCUGGGCCAAAGGCAGGCGCCAAACCGCUACGCCACCCAGGGAUCCCCUAAGAUGCUUUUGAUGAAGAGAUUGGUUGCAAUUAUGUGAGAGCAUUUGCUCAGACAUUCUGAGUUCCUUGUGUUUUUGCCUUUUUUGUUUCUGAAUAAAAGAAUUUUAAUGUUUUUCA